rnacentral:rRNA from 1 species
AGAUCGGGAUAACACCUGGAAACAGAUGCUAAUACCGGAUAACAACAGAUGAUGCCUAUCAACUGUUUAAAAGAUGGUUCUGCUAUCACUCUUGGAUGGACCUGCGGUGCAUUAGCUAGUUGGUAGGGUAACGGCCUACCAAGGCGAUGAUGCAUAGCCGAGUCGAGAGACUGAUCGGCCACAUUGGGACUGAGACACGGCCCAAACUCCUACGGGAGGCAGCAGUC